UUAAUUAUUCCCCCUGUAUCACACAGUAUAAUGGACAAGCCGGCUUCGUUCGACCGGCCGAUGAUGGAGAAGCAACGCGGAAGACCGGCAACACAGACGCUGACAAACGCUCACAACAGGUAUACUGAGAAUUCUGAUUGGAUGAAGGGGUGGAGUUUGGAACUGCAGAUCGGUGUGAGAGUUUAGUUUAGUUAACGAUGUGACUGGGAGGAAUUCAUGGACCAGUUGGGACUUACCGCGGACGUGCUUUGGAGUAUCGUUGCUAUGGCGAUAAAGGAUCGUGCUGCUGUUCGGUAGAGGAGGGACUACAGAAAGAUCUACAGCUUCAGAGGAGGGAAUUUCGUGUUCCAGCCGCCUGGGAAGCCGUUCAGCUGAUGGACAUCAAAACACUUGAGGCCUCAACCUCGAUGGCUCAGGUCUUUUUGGGUCUCACAAUGAUGGGAGAUAACAUCGGCCACAUAGCGAAGGAG